AUCGAGCUGACGAGUCCUAAAUAGUACGAAACUCGCGUCCUGGAU
rnacentral:hammerhead_ribozyme from 1 species